UACGACUACAUAUCAGGCAUAUCAAUAAGCGGAGGAAAAGAAACUAACAAGGAUUCCCCUUAGUAACGGCGAGUGAAGCGGGAAGAGCUCAAAUUUGAAAUCUUCAAGGUUCUACCUUGACGAAUUGUAGUUUAAAGAAGUGUUUUCUGUUAGAGGAGUAGCAAAAGUUCCUUGGAAUGGGACAUCAUAGAGGGUGAGAAUCCCGUAUUUGGUUAUUCUUUCUAGCUUUGUGAUACACUUUCGAAGAGUCGGAUUGUUUGGGAAUGCAGUCCAAAAUGGGUGGUAAAUUUCAUCUAAAGCUAAAUAUUGGCGAGAGACCGAUAGCGAACGAGUACCGUGAGGGAAAGAUGAAAAGAACUUUGAAAAGAGAGUUAAACAGUACGUGAAAUUGUCAAAAGGGAAGCGUUUGACACCAGUGUUGUUUUUCCGAAAAUCAAUUAAGAAGGGCUUGAUUUUGUGUUGUAUUGACCUUAUCAGCUUUCUUCACUCUUUUUCGAGUCUUUCUUAAUGCACUUUUCGGUUAACAAGUCAACAUCAAUUUCUUUUGCUGUAAAAGGGUAUUUGGAAGGUGGCUUUCUUUUCGGAGAAAGUGUUUAUAGCCUUAUACCUCUACAAUCGGAGAGAUUGAGGUCUGCAGCGUAGAUCCUUCGGGGCUAGAUACACUUGUGCUAAGUUAUAGCUUUUCAUAGACAACUUGUUGACUAUGUUUAGUCAUGUAGCUUACCCGCUUGUGCUAUUUUACCUACGCUUAGGAUGUUGAUCUACAGAGCGAGAGU
rnacentral:rRNA from 1 species